CUGAUUGGUGUACCUGGAAGGUUGUUCUAACUUUAAAAUAUCUUGUGGUAGAUUGAAGGUGGUAUAAAAACUUGCUGCUGUUCCUCCUGUUGAGAGGUGGAAUGUAUUUCCCUGCUUCCUUGAAUCUACACUAGUGACUUCUUAGACCAAUAAACAUUGCAGAAGUGACGUUUGGGGCUUCAGAGGCUCAGACAUAGGAGGUCUUUGUCGCUUUCAUGUGGGUCUCUGAGAAUAUUUGCUCUUGAGACAGUCCCCCUCCAAUCACAACUGUUACACUUUGAGAAAAUAAAGCCACAUGUGCAGCCCAUAUAUAGGUGGUCUAGUCAACCUGUUUAGCUAUCAACAGCCCAUGUCUACUCUCCACCAUGUGGGCCAGCCAUCUUGGACAUCUAACCGGUAGAGUCUUCAGGUGACUACAGACACAGCUGCCAUGUGACUGCAACUGCCUGGGAGGCCUCAAAUAACAACUCCCCAGCUCUGAACCCUGUCAACCUGCAGAAUCAUGAAAAAUAAUUAUGAAUUAUAGUUUUAAGCCACUAAGUUUCAAGUGGCUUUCACUCAGCAGUGAAUAAGUGGCAAAAUCUUCAAAGAAAGAUUUGAAUUCUGGAAAACCUGAGCAAAAUAUCCAAUGAUAAUUUCUCCUAUCACUGAUACAGAGAAACAAAUUUAGGAUUUGUUUUCAAAUAAUAUUUUUAUCUGAAACUUAGAAAAUCUUUUUAAAUAAUAAGCUCUCCAAACUAGAGCAAUUCUUAUUUUCAAACCAUUCAUAGCCUGGCCAUUUUUCUUAUGAACUUUCUGAUGAGAUCUUCAUGCAAAUUAUAGUCUUUUCCUGUCUUUUGCCUUCCAAAGAUGGACUCGAUGCUGCUUGCUGCUAUACAUGAUUCAUACAUAACAACGGAUACUCUAGAAGUGGGCAGUUUGACCAUGUUUGGACCCAUUCUCAACAGAGUCACUAAUGCUCCAUGUGUCUCCAACUUCAAUAUCCAUGUUAUUUAGAUGGGGAUCUUGUGAAAAUACAGAUUCUAAUUUGUAUUUCUGGGGUAGUUCCUGAGAAUCUAUACUUCUAAUAUUUUCAAGUGAUAUCUAUGUUGAUGUUACAGGUCCACGUUAAGGAACAUGGACUUAGAGGACAUCACACUUGAAAAAAAGUAACUAUAUUCAAGAAGAAAUUACUUUUACUCUUGGAGGAAAAGCAACUCACCAAUAGCUUCAGUUUGCUGUUAGAGAUUGAAGAUUACGCGAAGUUCAGAACACAGGUGUUAUUACAUUUUGGCUGUCUUCCUGACUAGCAUGAUCAUACUCUUGAGUACCCACUGUUCUCCUACAGAGAGUUUAUGAAAACAGGAAAGCUUGAUAUUUAAAUAAUGUUUAUAAAUUGCUUGAUUUGCAGAAAAGCAGACUACUGUUUAUUACAUAAAAUCUACAUACAUAUAUGUAUAAGACCCUGAUAAUAGGGCUAACAUGGUUUAUGAUUAUAAAUCAGUCUGGAGGGGUUGGUAGCAUUGAUGGUCUGUUUAAGAUAUAAAGUAACCAAGUGAAAAAUUAAAAUUGAAUCUACUGUUGUGGAAUUUCAUCUCAAAUCGUAUUAUUUGUUCUUCCUGAAUAUCCGUCUCCCUUCUGCUCUGCCUAACCAAAUUUCCAUUUUAGUUUUCAUCUGUCAGAAUGGCAAACAGUUUUUAGAAGUUAUGGUUUAAAAAAUCUCAAAGAACUUGGCAUUUUCAAAUGUUGCUAAUGGAAGUUCAAAUAGGUUCAAUAUUUGGGGGCGAGGGACAGAAUAGCAAGAAUUAUCAAAUUUUUUAAUAAAUUUAUGUUUUAUUUCUAAGACUUUAAGAAAACAAUCAUGGAGCUAUAUGAAGAUUUAUCAAGAAUGGUCAUAACCUAAUUUAAAAGAGUCAAACACAAAUAGAAAGAGGGAACUGCUUUAAAAAAUUAUGGUCCAUCUAUGUACAAAGAAAUACCAAGAAGUUAAUUUUUAGGAUGCAUAAAAAAGACUAUCCAAUGACCUUAAUAUACUGUCUUUUAGGAAAUUAAAAAGUCAGUAAGCAUAUGAACUGAUUGCUGCCUACAUCUUAAAAUUUCUAAACAAACUUCAUAAAAAAUACCAGAGUAUAUUCAACUAUUCACAGAGCUAGCAUUUAAAGCAUGCAACUAUGGAUGAUUUUCUUUCCUUCUUUGUCCUUUGUAUAUACUCUCCACCGUUUUUAAUGAGUAGGCUUCUUUGAUAAUCAUAAUUAAAAAUAAUUUUAAGCAGCUUUGAAACACUCACAUUAAAACAUUUCUUCCAUCUGAUUUCUAUUUUCCUUCUUUCCUUUCUUGGCAAAUUUGCCCUGAAAAGAAAACCCAGUUUUAUAAUCCUAUCCUUUGUAUCUCUAAUAACUUCUCUUCAGAUAUUGGGAAUGUACUCACCUCAAGUCUUUCACUUUUACUUUAGUUGUUGUGUUUUUAUUUGCUAAAUUUGUAUUAUUAUGAUAUCCAUUUAUUAUUCAUUAAAUAAACAUCUACUUGAGCACCUAGAGCGUGGCGUGUGCUGUUCUUC
rnacentral:lncRNA from 10 species